UGGCUAGCUGCUGGUGGUCAGUUAAUUGCCUCACGUUUUGAGCAGCAUGAUGUUCGAAGUCUUUUACCGGUUGAGAGUGAGACAGAUGAUUUGCAGGAUCACAUUAUUAUCUGUGGGUUUGGACGUGUUGGCCAGAUUAUUGCACAACUUCUUUCAGAGCGGUUAAUUCCCUUUGUUGCUCUUGAUGUGAGGAGUGAUAGAGUGGCAGUUGGGCGUGCCCUUGACCUUCCUGUGUAUUUUGGAGAUGCUGGUAGUCGAGAGGUCCUCCAUAAAGUUGGUGCUGAAAGAGCUUGUGCUGCGGCAAUAACUUUGGAUACACCUGGUGCAAAUUAUAGAACUGUUUGGGCGCUGAGCAAGUAUUUUCCCAAUGUAAAGACAUUUGUCCGUGCUCAUGAUGUUGAUCAUGGCCUUAAUUUGGAAAAGGCGGGGGCUACAGCGGUUGUCCCUGAGUCACUAGAACCAAGUCUACAGUUGGCAGCUGCUGUUCUUGCACAGGCUAAACUGCCCAUGUCAGAGAUCACAUCAACUAUAAAUGAGUUUAGGUCACGCCACUUGUCGGAGCUUACUGAGCUAUGCCAAGCUAGCGGAAGUUCUCUUGGUUAUGGGUUUUCUCGUAUGAUGAAUAAACCCAAAACUCAGCUUUCCGACUCUUCAGAUGAAAACCAAGUCACCGAAGGAACAUUAGCAAUUUGAAACCUGCCUAAAUCCGUUAUACAAAGAAGAAAACCAAGGAAAAAAGGAAACCAAAUAAUAAUAGAAAAUGUAUAGCGCAAUUACAUGUUCCAUUGGCAUAAUUGUACAGAAUAUACUGA
rnacentral:misc_RNA from 1 species